ensembl:lncRNA
AUGGAGGAUGAGGUGCAGCAAUUGCGAGACCUGGUAGCCCAACUUAAGGCUGAUAAUGAACACCUGCGGCAAGAACGUUUGGAGGUUCAGGCAAGUCCGAGUGCUGCGUCCUCUGAGUUUAAUCAUAGGGGGGCGGGGUUGGACAUGGACCCGAGAUCUUCCUCCAACGGUAAUUCAGUAGUGACGGAAAGGUUGAUUUAUGUUCCUAGGGAGAGGAAAUGUCCUGUUUUUAGGGGCCGUACCGGAAUUUCUUUGGCUGAUUGGCUAGAGGAAGUAAAGGCCAGUAUGCGUGUUCGCCACUUAUCUAUUUUUGAUAAAGCACACUUUCUGUAUGACCAUUUAGAGGGGGAAGCUAGGGAAGAAAUAAAAUUUAGGCCUAGCGAAGACCGGGACAACCCAGAUAAAGUUAUUAAAAUACUUACUGAGCUGUAUGGCUGCCCGGAUUCAUAUAUUGUUUUGCAGGAGAAUUUCUUCUCUCGACGACAACUAGAGGGGGAGACGCUCCAGGAAUUUUCACAUGCCCUUCUUGGCUUAAUGUCAAAAGUAAUUAAAAAUGCUCCAAAUGGUAUGCCCAAUUCUGAUGUUCUGUUGCGUGACCAAUUUGUAGAGUAUGUGCUGGAUUCUGCCCUUCGCAGGGAAUUAAAACAGUUUGUACGCCAACACUCUAGGGCUACUUUGCUUGAUGUUAGAGGGGAAGCCAUUAGAUGGGAACGGGAGGGUAUGUUGAGAGGUACUGGGGGUCGUAGUUUGUCAACUUCUUCUACUUAUGGGCUGCAGUAUGGGGUUUAUGGGUCUGCGCCAGCUUCUACAAACUCCGAAUUAUCAGAGCUAAAGGAGAUGCUCAAAAAGCAGCAAGAACAGCUUGAUCAGUUAACCCGUAGUGUGACUUCGCUUCAACAGGCCCCAAGAAGUCUCCCUUUUACCGCGAGUCCCUUUAACAGGGGUUCAGUUAUCUGUAGGAAGUGCCAACAGCCUGGCCAUUUUGCCCGUGAUUGUAGUUCUCAAAGUUUGUCAUCGAGAGUUAAUCCUUCUCCUUCACGUCACCCUCAGCCAGUAGUGACAAGGCCCCAGCCCUCUGUUACCUUUCAGGAAAACUAG